rnacentral:lncRNA from 1 species
AGCAUUAAAAUAAAGCUUCAAAAAUAAGAUAUUAGUGUCAAAAUGUAUUUAAAAAUCUGAAACAAGUUAAAACAAUUUUAUAAAAAAAAUUAAUAAACCAAAAUAUCAGUAUUAUCUAAAAAACAUGUAUUUAUAGUGAACAACUACUAUUGGUACAAGAAAUCAUUCCAGACUAGCACAAAAACACAUCACAGCAGCGAAGGGAUUUACUAUGCAAUGUUUAGUGGUAAAAACAGAUGGUAAGAUGGUAAUGUUUUUGCUAAUUGUAAGGACAUAGGAUAUAACAGCUUACUUUAGCCAUGUCUAGAUCUGUUAAACGUCAUGAUUUUAUAAUUAAGAACUGUGCCUAAAGUUAUGUAGUGUAUGAACUUAAGUGCUGUGCACUAGUAAUAGUUUAAGCCCCAAAGUCAAGUUUUGGAGAUUUGUGAUUAUGACUGAAAACAUGGUUUUUGGAAUGCACUUUGAUAUUAAGAGACUCUGUCAUGUGUUCCAUGAUUACUUUACUGUUAUUUCUGUUUUAUUCUAGUCCAGAGUUAAUCAAAUGCUCUUAUCCCUGUAUUAAUCCUACCCCCUCAUUAUCUUGCUGGUGUUCUCUUAUUUGGGUACCAAAUUGUGUUUAUUGCAUCUAUAUAUAUCUCUUUCUUUUUUCAGACUGUUAUCUAUCCAAAUUCCUAUUAGGAAUAUCUGAAAUCUCAUGUUGGGUUGAAUGGGUGGCUUAUCAUUUCUCAGAUAUUGGAUAACUUGUCCUUUUGUAUGUUGAUUCUUUGUUCAAAUCUUUCCAACAACCUGAGAUUCUUUUUGAUGGGUUCGUAAUACAAUUCAUAACUGUCUUAUCCAGAUUUUAUUUUUUUAUUGGUUUUUAACAUUAAACAUUGUAUAGUGGGUCUCUUUGCUGC